CACAAACAAUCAUAAGAAAACAAGAAGAAAAGAAGAAAAAAAGAAAAGAAGAAAGAAAGAAAGAAAGAAAGGAAGGAAGGAAGACAGAGUGUGUUUGUUUUGUGUUAUUGUAUGAUU
rnacentral:ribozyme from 13 species